UACGAAGGGGGCUAGCGUUGCUCGGAAUCACUGGGCGUAAAGCGCACGUAGGCGGAUUGCUAAGUCAGGGGUGAAAUCCUGGAGCUCAACUCCAGAACUGCCUUUGAUACUGGCGAUCUUGAGUCCGGGAGAGGUGAGUGGAACUGCGAGUGUAGAGGUGGAAUUCGUAGAUAUUCGCAAGAACACCAGUGGCGAAGGCGGCUCACUGGCCCGGUACUGACGCUGAGGUGCGAAAGCGUGGGGAGCAAACAGG
rnacentral:rRNA from 1 species